GAUGAACGCUGGCGGCGUGCCUAACACAUGCAAGUCGAACGAAGCACAUACGACGGAACUCUUCGGAGGGAAGAUGUAUGUGACUGAGUGGCGGACGGGUGAGUAACGCGUGGGUAACCUGCCCUAUACAGGGGGACAACAGUUGGAAACGACUGCUAAUACCGCAUAAGACCACGCUAUCGCAUGAUAGAGAGGUCAAAGAUUUAUCGCUGAUAGAUGGGCUCGCGUCCCAUUAGGUAGUUGGUGAGGUAAUGGCCCACCAAGCCGACGAUGGGUAGCCGACCUGAGAGGGUGAUCGGCCACAUUGGAACUGAGACACGGUUCCAAAACUCCUACGGGAGGCAGCAGUAGGGAAUAUUGGGCAAUGGGGGCGAACCCCUGACCCAGCAACGCCGCGUGAGGGAAGAAGGGUUCUCUGGAUUGUAAACCUCUGUUGUUGAGGAAGAUAAUGACGGUACUCAACAAGGAAGUGACGGCUAACUACGUGCCAGCAG
rnacentral:rRNA from 1 species